AAUGGUGGAGAGUGAGAAGUUAAGAAGUGAAGGUGAAAAAUGGUGGAGAGCUCUGAAGAUUGGAGGGAAUUGAAUUAUAUAGGUGAGGGUUUGAAUUCAGUUAGAGCUUGAAGUUAGUUACAAAAGGGAGAAGCUUGAGCCAAUGGAUCAAAAAGUUGGUUGAAGAUUGAAGGUCCAGAUUCAAUGUAGCUAAAGAAUGAUGCAAUCUGAUUUUUAUGUGGAGCAAUGGUCUUGAAGCAAGGUUAAUCCCAACAAUGAGGCAAGGACUAAAGCAUACUCAUGGAGGUUGAAGAAUUGAAGUGUUUAGGAUGUCUUUAGGAAUAUAUUAGAAUGAAGUAACUUGUGCAAUUUUUAUGUGUGAUGGGGUUGGAUUGGAAUUUGUAUGGAUUUUGUAACUUUUGUAAUGGAUAUUUGUAGUUUAAAAUUUGUUUUGAAAUAGACUAUUUCUCUUCUUUUUUUUUUUUUGCUAUAAGUGAUUGACAUUGCAUGGUGUAAUGGUGAGACUUGGUGAUUGGAUUUUUUGUGGUUAAACAAUAUGUAAUGAUGCCCUUUAAGAUUGAGUUUUGUAAUAUAAGUAAUGGUGUUGAACUUUGGAUGAA